GUACUCCUCAGCGACCGAUAGUGAACAGUACCGUGAGGGAAAGGUGAAAAGCACCCCGACGAGGGGAGUGAAAUAGCACCUGAAACCGAAUGCUUACAAACAGUGGGAGCUCAAGGUUCGUCCUGAGUGACCGCGUACCUUUUGUAUAAUGGGUCAGCGACUUAAUCUGACGAGCAAGCUUAAGCCGAUAGGCGUAGGCGCAGCGAAAGCGAGUCUGAACAGGGCGUUCAGUUCGUCGGAUUAGACCCGAAACCGGGUGAUCUAGCCAUGAGCAGGUUGAAGGUAAGGUAACACUUACUGGAGGACCGAACCGGUGCCUGUUGAAAAAGUCUCGGAUGACUUGUGGCUAGGGGUGAAAGGCCAAUCAAACUCGGAAAUAGCUGGUUCUCCGCGAAAGCUAUUUAGGUAGCGCCUCGCGUGAAUACUUCGGGGGGUAGAGCACUGGAUGGGCAAGGGGUGCUUACCGCAUUACCGAUCCUAACCAAACUCCGAAUACCCGAAAGUACUGCGCGGGAGACACACGGCGGGUGCUAACGUCCGUCGUGGAGAGGGAAACAACCCUGACUUACAGCUAAGGCCCCUAAUUCGUGGCUAAGUGUGAAAGGAUGUGGGAAUCCCAAAACAACCAGGAGGUUGGCUUAGAAGCAGCCAUCCUUUAAAGAAAGCGUAACAGCUCACUGGUCUAAACAAGGGUUCCUGCGCCGAAAAUGUAUCGGGGCUCAAGCCACGAGCCGAAGCUUAAGGUUUGCACUUUGUGCAAGCGGUAGCGGAGCGUUCCAUAAGCCAACGAAGGCGGACCCGUGAGGGCUGCUGGAGGUAUUGGAAGUGCGAAUGCUGACAUGAGUAACGACAAACAGUGUGAAAGACACUGUCGCCGAAAGUCCAAGGGUUCCUGCGUAAAGUUAAUCUCCGCAGGGUUAGCCGGCCCCUAAGGCGAGGCCGAAAGGCGUAGUCGAUGGGAAUGAGGUGAAUAUUCCUCAGCCAGCUGGUAGUGACGGAUCUCGUACGCUGUCGGACCUUAUUGGAUUGGUCCGGCUUCCAAGAGGUUCCAGGAAAUAGCUCCAGCAAUAGACCGUACCCUAAACCGACACAGGUGGACUGGUAGAGUAUACCAAGGCGCUUGAGAGAAUGAUGCUGAAGGAACUCGGCAAUUUACCUCCGUAACUUCGGGAUAAGGAGGCCCAGUGUUCAGGCAACUGUUCAUUGGGGGCACAGACCAGGGGGUAGCGACUGUUUAACUAAAACACAGGGCUCUGCGAAAUCGCAAGAUGACGUAUAGGGUCUGACGCCUGCCCGGUGCCGGAAGGUUAAAAGGAGGUGUGCAAGCACCGAAUUGAAGCCCCGGUAAACGGCGGCCGUAACUAUAACGGUCCUAAGGUAGCGAAAUUCCUUGUCGGGUAAGUUCCGACCUGCACGAAUGGCGUAACGACUUCCCCGCUGUCUCCAGCAUCAACUCAGUGAAAUUGAAUUCCCCGUGAAGAUGCGGGGUUCCUGCGGUCAGACGGAAAGACCCCGUGCACCUUUACUGUAGCUUUGCGCUGGCAUUCGUGUCGGCAUGUGUAGGAUAGGUGGUAGACUUUGAAGCCGGGGCGCCAGCUCUGGUGGAGUCAUCCUUGAAAUACCACCCUUAUCGUCAUGGAUGUCUAACCGCGACCCGUCAUCCGGGUCCGAGACAGCGCAUGGCAGGCAGUUUGACUGGGGCGGUCGCCUCCCAAAGAGUAACGGAGGCGUGCGAAGGUGGGCUCAGAGCGGUCGGAAAUCGCUCGUUGAGUGCAAUGGCAUAAGCCUGCCUGACUGCGAGACUGACACGUCGAGCAGAGUCGAAAGACGGCCAUAGUGAUCCGGUGGUCCCGCGUGGAAGGGCCAUCGCUCAACGGAUAAAAGGUACGCCGGGGAUAACAGGCUGAUGAUCCCAA
rnacentral:rRNA from 1 species